UAAAAUGAGAGUUUGAUCCUGGCUCAGGACGAACGCUGGCGGCGUGCCUAAUACAUGCAAGUAGAACGCUGAGGACUGGUGCUUGCACUGGUCUAAGGAGUUGCGAACGGGUGAGUAACGCGUAGGUAACCUACCUCAUAGCGGGGGAUAACUAUUGGAAACGAUAGCUAAUACCGCAUGACAACAGGGUACACAUGUACCCUAUUUAAAAGGGGCAAAUGCUUCACUAUGAGAUGGACCUGCGUUGUAUUAGCUAGUUGGUAAGGUAACGGCUUACCAAGGCGACGAUACAUAGCCGACCUGAGAGGGUGAUCGGCCACACUGGGACUGAGACACGGCCCAGACUCCUACGGGAGGCAGCAGUAGGGAAUCUUCGGCAAUGGGGGGAACCCUGACCGA
rnacentral:rRNA from 1 species